rnacentral:rRNA from 1 species
GAUGAACGCUGGCGGCGUGCCUAAUACAUGCAAGUCGAGCGAACAGACGAGGAGCUUGCUCCUCUGACGUUAGCGGCGGACGGGUGAGUAACACGUGGAUAACCUACCUAUAAGACUGGGAUAACUUCGGGAAACCGGAGCUAAUACCGGAUAAUAUAUUGAACCGCAGGGUUCAAUAGUGAAAGACGGUUUUGCUGUCACUUAUAGAUGGAUCCGCGCCGCAUUAGCUAGUUGGUAAGGUAACGGCUUACCAAGGCAACGAUGCGUAGCCGACCUGGGAGAGUGAUCGGCCACACUGGAACUGAGACACGGUCCAGACUCCUACGGGAGGCAGCAGUAGGGAAUCUUCCGCGAUGGGCGAAAGCCUGACGGAGCAACGGCGCGUGGGUGAUGAAGGUCUUCGGAUCGUAAAACUCUGUUAUUAGGGAAGAACAAAUGUGUAAGUAACUAUGCACGUCUUGACGGUACCUGAUCAGAAAGCCACGGCUAACUACGUG